AGUGAACGCUGGCGGUAGGCCUAACACAUGCAAGUCGAACGGCAGCACAGUAAGAGCUUGCUCUUACGGGUGGCGAGUGGCGGACGGGUGAGGAAUACAUCGGAAUCUACUUUUUCGUGGGGGAUAACGUAGGGAAACUUACGCUAAUACCGCAUACGACCUAUGGGUGAAAGCAGGGGAUCUUCGGACCUUGCGCGAUUGAAUGAGCCGAUGUCGGAUUAGCUAGUUGGCGGGGUAAAGGCCCACCAAGGCGACGAUCCGUAGCUGGUCUGAGAGGAUGAUCAGCCACACUGGAACUGAGACACGGUCCAGACUCCUACGGGAGGCAGCAGUGGGGAAUAUUGGACAAUGGGCGCAAGCCUGAUCCAGCCAUACCGCGUGGGUGAAGAAGGCCUUCGGGUUGUAAAGCCCUUUUGUUGGGAAAGAAAAGCAGCAGGUUAAUACCCCGCUGUUCUGACGGUACCUAAAGAAUAAGCACCGGCUAACUUCGUG
rnacentral:rRNA from 1 species